CUGUGUUUGUGCUGUUUCAGAUUCAGACAGCUGGUGUUGUGUUGGUGAUUGUUACACUAAUCAUCUGCUCAAUUACGCAGGAAUGGUGCUGAGAGAUGAGGGAAGGCUCCACUCUGUUCUCCGAGCACUCCAGCUCACCUUCUUGGAAAGAAAAAAAUCUUUCUCCAGGAAGUAGCAAAGCCAUUUUAGGCAACAUCCUGCCAUGGCACUGUCAACUGUCUGGUUUGGAAGUGCCUGCGGUGUGUCCAAAGGAUACCGGAGCUGCAUUUUUCCAAUGGUUGGUUUCCUGAGGGAGGGACUGUGCCUGGAGAGCUGGCUGGGGGAGAAAGCUAGGUUCCUUGUAUUCUGCUAAGAAAGCACUGGAGAAAGUAGAGUGUUCUUUCCACCAAGCUGUCAAACUCAUCAGUCAUCUCACGAUUGCCUUGGUCUGGCUUCAAAUCCAUAGCAACGGAGGCAGAGGAUCAUGGGUAGUGCUGACAAAAAUGCUAAAGAACCAUGGAAGGUUGUUGGCCAGCUAGAAGCCGCAGGCUCCAGCUCUGUCUUGAUUCCUUCUGUAUUAGAAGAGGAAGGGCUACUCGAUGCCCUCAUGCCUGGCAACAGAAGGGCGCUGAAG